rnacentral:lncRNA from 1 species
AUGUGUGUGCGUCCAGGCGAGGAUGUGGACCUCUGCAGUGAGCUGCUGCAGGAGUCCCUGGAUGCCUGGCGAGCACUUCCCGAGGCCUCGCUCUUCCACGAGAGCACCGCGUCCUCUGUGUGGCUGGAGGUGGUGGAGAGAGCGACCAGGUUCCUCGGGUCCGUCGUGACGGGGGAUGUUCACGGAACGCCAGGCACCAAAGGGCCAGAAGCGUCCCCCUGCAGGACCAGCACUUGGCCAUGGCCAUCCUGCUGGAGCUGGCUGUGCAGAGAGGCACGCUGAGCCAAAUGUUGUCUGCCAUCCUGUUGUUGCUUCAGCUGUGGGACAGCGGGGCACAGGAGACUGACAAUGAGCGUUACCACCCAGGGCACCAGCGUCCCGCUUUUGCCCUUGCUGCAAAGGUUCCAGAGCAUCAUUUGCAGGAAGGAUACGCCCCACUCCGAGGGCGACAUGCACGUGAGUGUCAUGAUGGAACUUUGUGUUUAGGUGGCACUGGAUUCUAGUUAUUUUUUAAGCAAGACCAGUGUGCACGUCCACGGCAGUUCUUUUCUCUGGUGUGUGUGUGUUUGCUGGAAACAGCAGCGCGUCAGAUGUGACAUGGGUGGUCACUUGUUUGUGGAGAAGACUCGAAUCAGUGAGCACUGACUUCCUUGUCAGCACAGAACCAAGCUUGAAACAUGCACUUUUAAAUCAAUACCAGAAAAGAACAACGAAAACAGUGGCCUGCUUUGUUGGCCCUUCCUGUGUACUGGGCUCUGUGCAGGGCAUGUCACCUGAGCUGUCACUCUGUUGAGUACCAGUUCCCCACUUAACAGGUGUGGAUGCCGCGCUCGGGGAGGAGCAGGUGUGCGGGGCCCUGGGCCUAAACCUCCAGGACUGCUGGUCCUUGCAGGUCAAGUACAGGUUGGAUUUUGCCAGUCUUUUUGGGAAAGUCUUAGGCAUUCCAGUAU